GGGGAAUUUUCCGCAAUGGGCGAAAGCCUGACGGAGCAAUACCGCGUGAGGGAUGAAUGCCUAUGGGUUGUAAACCUCUUUUUUCAGGGAGGAGUCAAUGACGUGUACCCUGAAGAAUAAGCAUCGGCUAACUCCGUGCCAGCAGCCGCGGUAAGANCGGAGGAUGCAAGUGUUAUCCGGAAUCACUGGGCGUAAAGCGUCUGUAGGUGGUCCAAUAAGUCAACUGUUAAAUCUUGAGGCUCAACUUCAAAAUCGCAGUCGAAACUAUUAGANCUAGAGUAUAGUAGGGGUAAAGGGAAUUUCCAGUGGAGCGGUGAAAUGCGUAGAGAUUGGAAAGAACACCGAUGGCGAAGGCACUUUACUGGGCUAUUACUAACACUACAGAGACGAAAGCUAGGGUAGCAAAUGGGAUUAGAACCCCAGUAGUC
rnacentral:rRNA from 1 species